rnacentral:lncRNA from 10 species
GAAGAAGAGAGGGAGAGAAACAGAGGCAAGAUAUUCCCGCAGACAGAAGGCUAAUAAAAACCAGACACUGGACUUGAACCAGGUCUGCGGGACUCAGGAGCAUGUCCCGCUGUGCCCCAGCAGCCCAGGAGCCUCUGAGGGGGUCCGGAUGGAGCACGGCAUCGCUCCUCCCACCUCCCCAUGUGGCUUCAGCCCCUGGUCCCACCUGCCUGAGCUCACAGCCCGAGCCUCACAGGCAGUCACCGGGUCUAGGUCCAAGGACGUACUCUGGGGAUAGAAACCCAGGUGGGGAAGGGGCCGCGAAUGGCUUAUGACCCCGUGUCCUCCCCUGGCAGUUUCUGGUCACAGAUCACAGGCGGAGAUGGACAACUUGAGACCCAGGGACUUGGGGCAGCUUCACUCCCAUCACACAGAGUCCAGGGGCAGAGCCAGAGGCAGCUUCUCUCCCAUCACAGAGUCCAGGGCAGAGCCAGAUGGAAGGGAAGCCUCAUGGCUUCAUCCUGGUCACCGUUCACAGCUACGUCCCCUCCCUGUGGAGCCCUCCUCCUCUUAAGGGACCUUACUCCACCGUUCAGGCCUCCCCCGGAGAUCACAGAGCCAACAGGAGCAGCCCCGUCCCUCUCCGGGUGUCCCAGGUUGGAAGACGCUUUUCAUGAGCUGCUAAUUCCGCAAAUGUGAGAAACACAUACAGGAUGCCUGCCCUUUGGAGGUGGACGUCUAGAAGGGAGGACAGAUAUUGAUCGAAGAAUUGUCCAAAUCUGCAGCUGCGAACUGCAAUAAGUUUCCUGUGGGUAAGUGUGCAGGGAUCUAGGGGACAGGUGGGCGGUGGAGCUGACCUCCUCUGCAAAGUCAGGGGAAGCUCUCUCUGAGCUGAGAGCUGAGGGAGGAGUAGAAACUCCCUGAGCUGAGCAGACAGGGGACACCAGGGCACUCAAAGUGGGAAAAUUCCUCAAAGGAAACAAGGUUUUAGUUAGAGAGGAGAAAUCAAUUCAAGAAUCAUCAUGUACAACACGGUGACUACAGUUAAUAACAAUGUAUUACAUUAUUGGACAUUGCUAAUCCAGGUGAUUCUAAGCGUUCUCACCACAAAAAAAUGAUUCGCACAGGAGGAAUGCCUACGUUGCCUAGCUCGAUGUAGCCAUUCCUCGCUGUGUGCAGAGUCCACAACGUCAUAUUGGACAUGACAAAUACAUGCAAUUUUCAUCGGUCAAUUUUAAACUGAAUUAAUUAACUUUUAAAAAUCAGACCAGGCGCGGUGUCUCACACCUGUAAUCCCAGUACUUUGGGAGGCCGAGGUGGGCGGCUCACCUGAGGUCAGGAGUUCGAGACCAGCCUGAUCAACAUGGUGAAUCCCCGUCUCUACUAAAAAUACAAAAACAUCAGCCAGGCAUGGUGGCAGGCACCUGUAAUCCUAGCUACCUGGGAGGUUGAGGCAGGGAGAAUUGCUUCAACCAGGGAGGCAGAGGUUGCAGUAAGCCAAGACCGAGCCAUUGCACUCCAGCCUGGGCAACAAGAAUGAAACACCAUCUCAAAAAAAAAAAAAAAAAUCAGCAUGUGAGAAGAACCACCAUGUUGAGCGGCAUAUGGAGUGUUUGAGAAAGCGAAAGAACCUGGAGGAAUGUAGAGAUGAGUGAGCCCCAGGUCACAGGGACAGGAUGUGGCUGGGAAAAUGGGCAUGUCCAGAACAAAGAGAGGUGCCUGGGUUGAUUCUAUCUGAAGAUAAACAGGGGAAGGGCUCUAAGAAAAAAACUUCAUCUUACGAUGAGAUAUUAAAUGAAAAUUUUUGAAUGCAAUUUAAAAACUGUGGAAAGUACAAUGGUCAUGGUUGUGCUUUUGCAAAUCGCCAGUCCCUGGGGUCAGGAAGGGAGCAGGCAGCAGUGGCAUGGACAGGCUGAGGCCGGCCUCGGGGAGCCACGGAGGGGAGAAGGGCUGUCACCUGGGGGUGAUGCAGGAAAAGUCGAUGAAGAGAGAGGGAAAGAUGAGAAAAAUUUAGAGUGAAAUCACCAGGACUGGGUGACAUGGUGCAUCCAGGAGGAUGGAGAAGAGGAUGAGUGUUCAGAGUCUGCCCUUUGUGACUGUCACGUUCCCCGCCAAGAAGCUGCCGAGUGAAGUGUGGGCUCGUCUGGGGAAAAGUGCCGGGUUCAGCCUUGGUUGUGUUGGGUUUGAAUUCUCAUUGUGGAAAUCGGUGUGUGGAGGUGAUGCCUGCACUCCCAGGGUGACCGCAGCGCUACUCACAGCUGCCAAGACCUGGAAAUAACCUGAGUUAUAUAACCACCACCAAAUGAAUGGAUGAGGAGAAUGUGGUGUAUAUAUGCAAUGGAAUAUUAUUCAGCCCUAAAAAAGGAAGGACAUUCUGUCAUUCACAACAGCAUGGAUGAACCAGAGGACAUUAUGCUAAGUGAAAUAAGCUGGGUACAGAAAGACAAAUACCGCAUGUGGAAUCUAAAAAAGUUCAUCUCGGCCGGGUGCAGUGGCUCAUACCUGUAAUCCCAGCACUUUGUGUGGCCGAGGUGGGUGGAUCACCUGAGGUCAGGAGUUCAAGACCAGCCUGGCCAACAUGGUGAAACCCCAUCUCUACUAAAAACACAAAAAUUAGCUGGGCGUGGUGGCAUGCACCUGUAAUCCCAGCUACUCGAGAGGCUGAGGCAGGAGAAUCGCUUGAACUUGAGAAGUUGAGUUUGCGGUGAACCGAGAUUGUGCCAUUGCACUCCAGCCUGGGUGACAGAGUGAGACUCCAUCCCAAAACAAACAAACAAACAAAAAAGGUCAUCUCACAGAGUUAGAGAUUAGAAUGAUGCUAUUAAAGUCGGGAAAUGGGGGGCUUGGGAGAGACACUGAUCAAAUGGUACAAAGUUUCGGUUAAACAGGAGGAGUAAGUUUUUGAGAUCUAUUGCAUAGCAGGCUGACUAUAGUUAAUAAUAACUUAUUAUAUAUUUCAAAAUUGCUAAAAGUAGGUUUUAAAUGUUCUCAUCACAAUAAGUAUGUGAUGUGAUUGAUAUGUUAUUUAGCCUUAUUUAAUCUUUCCACAAUGUUUACAUACGUUGUAACAUCACAUCGUGCCCCACAAACAUAUACAAUUAUUUGUCGAUUAAAAAUAAGAUUUUUGGCUGGGCACAGUGGCUCAUGCCUGUAAUCCCA